AAAGAUUAAGCCAUGCAUGUUCUAAGUAUAAACAAAUCUAUACUGUGAAACUGCGAAUGGCUCAUUAAAUCAGUUAUAGUUUAUUUGAUGGUACCUUACUACAUGGAUAACUGUGGUAAUUCUAGAGCUAAUACAUGCUGAAAAGCCCCGACUUCUGGAAGGGGUGUAUUUAUUAGAUAAAAAACCAAUGGCGGGCAACCGUCUUGCGUUGAUUCAUGAUAACUUCUCGAAUCGCAUGGCCUUGCGCCGGCGAUGCUUCAUUCAAAUAUCUGCCCUAUCAACUUUCGAUGGUAGGAUAGAGGCCUACCAUGGUGAUGACGGGUAACGGGGAAUAAGGGUUCGAUUCCGGAGAGAGGGCCUGAGAAACGGCCCUCAGUCCUAAGGGACGCAGCAGGCGCGCAAAUUAUCCCAUCCCGACACGGGGAGAUAGUGACAAUAAAUAACAAUAUAGGGCUCUUUUGGGUCUUAUAAUUGGAAUGAGUACAAUUUAAAUCCCUUAACGAGGAUCAAUUGGAGGGCAAGUCUGGUGCCAGCAGCCGCGGUAAUUCCAGCUCCAAUAGCGUAUAUUAAAGUUGUUGCCGUUAAAAAGCUCGUAGUCGAACUUCGGCCUUUGCUGCCCGGUCCGCCUUUUGGGGUGUGUACUGGAGCAGUGGAGGCUUACCUCGUGGUGAACAAUCAUGCCCUUUACUGGGUGUGGUUGGGAACCAUGAUUUUUACUUUGAAAAAAUUAGAGUGUUCAAAGCAGGCUCACGCCUGAAUACAUUAGCAUGGAAUAAUAAAAUAGGACGUGCGGUUCUAUUUUGUUGGUUUCUAGGAUCGCCGUAAUGAUUAAUAGGGAUAGUUGGGGGCAUUCGUAUUCAAUUGCUAGAGGUGAAAUUCUUGGAUUUAUUGAAGACGAACUACUGCGAAAGCAUUUGCCAAGGAUGUUUUCAUUGAUCAAGAACGAAGGUUAGGGGAUCGAAAACGAUCAGAUACCGUUGUAGUCUUAACAGUAAACGAUGCCGACUAGGGAUCGGACGAGGAUUUUUUAUGACUCGUUCGGCACCUGAAGAGAAAUCUUUAAGUCUAGGUUCGGGGGGGAGUAUGGUCGCAAGGCUGAAACUUAAAGGAAUUGACGGAAGGGCACCACCAUGGUGUGGAGCCUGCGGCUUAAUUUGACUCAACACGGGGAAACUCACCAGGUCCAGACACGACAAGGAUUGACAGAUUGAUAGCUCUUUCUUGAUUUCGUGGUUGGUGGUGCAUGGCCGUUCUUAGUUGGUGGAGUGAUUUGUCUGGUUAAUUCCGAUAACGAACGAGACCUUAACCUGCUAAAUAGCCCGGCCGACUUUGGUUGGUCGCUGGCUUCUUAGAGGGACUAUCAGCGUUUAGCUGAUGGAAGUUUGAGGCAAUAACAGGUCUGUGAUGCCCUUGACAUCUAGGGGUAGAUAAGAGUUAGUCUCUUAGUGGGUGUGAAUACACUUGCAACACUUUCAACAUGCUGGAAACUCCUUAUAGAUUGCAAUACCAAGCAGUACUGACGCAAGUCUACUGUGGCGGCGCAAGCUGGGUAAGGUCAUAAUUUGCAAUACUUGACAUCAGCAGCCAACAUCCUUUGGGAUUAUGGUUCAGAGGCCAGACGAAAGUGGGUACUAGAAGUAUCCUAAGAUAAUGGUUCA
rnacentral:rRNA from 1 species